rnacentral:lncRNA from 1 species
GGGAUAGAAAAGCAGGGCCAUAUUUUUCAUAUUGAAAUUUAUAACCAAACUUUUAUAUAAAACACAAACCAAUUCAUAACUAUUCACUUCAAAAGAAAUUCUCAAAAGAAGAUAGAUUCUCAGCCCAUCCAGGCCAUACUCAAGGCCCCUCUUGGGAUUAUCUUCUUCUUCCAAAAUCCUUCUACUCAGGUUUCACCUCCGAGUUCUCUUUCUCAGAUUCCUCCUCAUCAGCUCCUCAUCGGGGUCCUGAAAUGUUUUUCCCCAAACUGGGAUGAGACUACGUCUCAGCGAGUUCUACCCCACUAAGCCCGAUUAGUAAACUACUAUACUAAAGGCUGCCUAAACACGCACAGGUGAGGGGACUUACCUUGGCCUCAGAUCCCACCUGCAAGUCAGUACAAUUCACAUACCUUACGUAUAGAAUCGAUACAUCCAGCAAUUGAAACACAUCACUCAACUCAAUAAAUCACAAGGGUCCAGAUUAUAGGGCCAAAUCGUUAUGACACGUCCCAUUCCAUGUCACACAAUUUUGUCUCAUAAUCUGGCGCAUCAAACUCAACCAUCAUGCGUUCCAAUUGUUAAUUACACCCCUCAAGGGUACGGCCAACUCUAUUGGCGGUCUUCUGGCAUUGCCAGGCGUCGUCUCUCCCCAUGAGCACGGCAACGUCUCUCAAUUAGACGGCUUCCCCGAAGGGGCAUAGGUCCAGAAUCUACUGCGACCCGCUACCCUAAUGCAUGGGUAACCCGAAAAGGGAUUUAGUAACGUCCGGCAUAAUUGCUCGAGACUGGUUCUCUUAACCAACACACGACCACUCAAUAUCGGCCCGGGACCCUGUGCAUUGCACUCAAAUGCCUUCGUUAAAAUAGUGAUCCUGGCCUAUUUCCUUCGUAUUAAAAACAUCCCGAAAAUAGUCGUGUGUGGGUACACGGUCAAUUCGAACCGGAAGACUGAUACUUAUCUUUUUC